UUUUCUGUCAUUUUAAACAAUAAUCCGUCUUUGGUAAUAGUACAGUUUGCAUUAUAUCUAACACAAAUACUAGUUUUUUUUUAUCACUCAGACAGAAAGACGUCUUUAUAUCAUCAGUAACAGUUACCGUGAGGCAUGUCUAAGUAGCCUACUGAAGUGGACUAAAGCAAAACAGAGCCCCAAAACAGUCCAGGGAAGAAAACUUCAGCCCAAGAUGUGGAUUCCAGCAAAUGUAAAACAAAGCACUUGCACAUUUUUGUUUUUGUUCAGAACAGCUGUGUUUAUAAAAAUAUGAAUUUAUUUAUUUAAUUAU